rnacentral:rRNA from 1 species
GACGAACGCUGGCGGCGUGCCUAAUACAUGCAAGUAGAACGCACAGUUUAUACCGUAGCUUGCUACACCAUAGACUGUGAGUUGCGAACGGGUGAGUAACGCGUAGGUAACCUGCCUGGUAGCGGGGGAUAACUAUUGGAAACGAUAGCUAGUACCGCAUAAUAUUAAUUAUUGCAUGAUAAUUAAUUGAAAGGUGCAAUUGCACCACUACCAGAUGGACCUGCGUUGUAUUAGCUAGUAGGUGAGGUAACGGCUCACCUAGGCGACGAUACAUAGCCGACCUGAGAGGGUGAUCGGCCACACUGGGACUGAGACAAGGCCCAGACUCCUAAGGGAGGCAGCAGUAGGGAAUCUUCGGAAAUGGACGAAAGUCUGACCGAGCAACGCCGCGUGAGUGAAGAAGGGUUUCGGAUCGUAAAGCUCUGUUGUAAGAGAAGAACGGGUGUGAGAGUGGAAAGUUCACACUGUGACGGUAUCUUACCAGAAAGGGACGGCUAACUACGUG